rnacentral:misc_RNA from 1 species
AAGUCGUAACAAGGUUUCCGUAGGUGAACCUGCGGAAGGAUCAUUAAUAAUUUGCCGAACCUAGCGUUAGCGAGGUUCCGCGAUCACUUAUAUUUAAAACCCAACUCUUAAAUUGUAUAAUUAUGUAUUUUUUUUUAAUAAAAAAGAUCACUUUCAACAACGGAUCUCUUGGCUCUC